rnacentral:rRNA from 1 species
AACAAACGCUGGCGGCGUGCCUAAUACAUGCAAGUCGAGCGGGGAAAGCUUUCGGGUGAGUACUAUUGGCGCACGGGUGAGUAACGCGUGGAUAAUCUGCCUUAGAGUGGGGGAUAACUAGUCGAAAGAUUAGCUAAUACCGCAUAAGACCACAAGAACUGCGGUUCAAGGGGUCAAAGGUUUUUGGCUCUAAGAUGAGUCCGCGUAAGAUUAGCUAGUUGGGGAGGUAAGGGCUCACCAAGGCGACGAUCUUUAACUGGUCUGAGAGGAUGAUCAGUCACACUGGAACUGAGACACUGUCCAGACUCCUACGGGAGGCAGCAGUAGGGAAUAUUGCACAAUGGAGGAAACUCUGAUGCAGCGACGCCGCGUGAGUGAUGAAGGCCUUCGGGUCGUAAAGCUCUGUCGCAAGGGAAUAACACAAUGGAUGUACCUUGCAAGAAAGGAUCGGCUAACUUCGUGCCAGCAGCCGCAGUAACAC